rnacentral:lncRNA from 1 species
CGUGAGGCCCAGAAGCGUGUGGAGGCAGCCCAGGAGACGGUUGCAGACUACCAGCAGACCAUCAAGAAGUACCGCCAGCUGACCGCCCAUCUACAGGAGCAGCUGCACCAGCUUCACAGUCGCCUCAUCUCCUAAGCACUCCUUUCCCCUGCUGUCCCCUUCGACCCUCAGCCCUCUGGUGCCGCUCUGCCCGAUGCACAGCCACCUCAGCCAGCCCCCAGGUAGAAACGUGGGUUAAGCUCUUCCUGCCCCGUUCAGCUUCACUCCCACCCUUUCAGCGUCCUGCCCCUUCACCUUGACCCGGGUUCCCCCACUCCCAUUCCCUGGCCUCUGCCAUAAUUUGUUGUUCAACUGCUCCCUCCUUCCUGAGGGGCCUCAGGGCUUGUGGGGGGUAGGCUGAGACCCCACCACCAAAGGUUAAGUGAGGUCCCCUUGAUUGAGGACUUCACCCCUUGAUUAAAGCAACUUCUGCUUCAGUG